UGGGGAAUUUUGGACAAUGGGCGCAAGCCUGAUCCAGCCAUGCCGCGUGUCUGAAGAAGGCCUUCGGGUUGUAAAGGACUUUUGUCAGGGAAGAAAAGGACAGGGUUAAUACCUCUGUUUGAUGACGGUACCUGAAGAAUAAGCACCGGCUAACUACGUGCCAGCAGCCGCGGUAAUACGUAGGGUGCGAGCGUUAAUCGGAAUUACUGGGCGUAAAGCGAGCGCAGACGGUUACUUAAGCAGGAUGUGAAAUCCCCGGGCUCAACCUGGGAACUGCGUUCUGAACUGGGUGACUAGAGUGUGUCAGAGGGAGGUAGAAUUCCACGUGUAGCAGUGAAAUGCGUAGAGAUGUGGAGGAAUACCGAUGGCGAAGGCAGCCUCCUGGGAUAACACUGACGUUCAUGCUCGAAAGCGUGGGUAGCAAACAGGAUUAGAUACCCUGGUAGUCCACGCCCUAAACGAUGUCAAUUAGCUGUUGGGCAACUUGAUUGCUUAGUAGCGUAGCUACGCGUGAAAUUGACCGCCUGGGGAGUACGGUCGCAAGAUUA
rnacentral:rRNA from 1 species